rnacentral:piRNA from 1 species
UGGCAUUUAGGACUGAACGCUAC